rnacentral:misc_RNA from 1 species
UUCCUAAUUUUCCUUUAUGUUAUAGUAUGGUUCACUGGAUAAAGAUUACUUGAUGCUUGUUGCUUGAAUCCUAGAACCAAAUUAGAACAUAAGGCCACUUGCCAAGAAAACUUAUAAUUUGAUAUUUUUCUUGAAAUGAAAAGACCUACAAACCUGAGAAUCCUAUUAUAUAAGGACGUAUUGCAAAAUCAUUAACAUUUAGAGGGGAAAUGGAAUCUAGGUAGUAUUGCUGAUUACUGAAUCAUGAAGCAUGAAUAUAAUGAACCAUUUAGCCUUGUUAACAUAGAAACAAAUUAGCUUAAUUAUGUGUCCAUUUGA